rnacentral:lncRNA from 1 species
AGAUGACCAUGUCAUUCUUAAAUCAUUUAGCUUGGCUUCGCUGUUCCCAUCAACAGAUUGCUACUACAGAUACUAUGGUAGUCUGACAACUCCAAUGUGUCAUGAAAGCGUUAUCUGGACAUUGUUCAAACAGCACAUUUACAUUUCUGAAUCUCAGGUUUGUAGUGUUAUUUAAUUUGUUAUAAUGAAUAUCCUAUCAAUAUUGUCUUUCAUAGAUGAAUUUUAUUUAAAAGUAUUUUCUAUGACGUCACGUAUAAUGUUCAGCGUUACGGGUAUUAGAAAAAUCAACAGAAGUGAAGCAAGAUGUUUUAUUUUAUUUUUUUGACAGUCAAACAAUAAAAUCUGAGUCAAAACUAAGAACUUAAGCAUUGUCUUUAAUUAGUUGUAAAUUCAAUUCAAUGUCCUUUUAUACUAUCGAUUUUUCAUUGGUCUGUACGAAAGGGUGACAUUAAAAAGGUGUCUCCCGCUCAAACAUGGGAUAGAGUAAAUUGUCUCCCUUGUUUUAAAAACGUAUAAAAAUGGCAUUUUAACGUGAAGUAUAAUGAAAUCAGUUACGACAUAUUUUGGUUUUGUAUCUAUUAUCACUUAAAUGAAAGCAGGUAGCUCAAUGUUUUUCGUCAUUGUUUUGGUUUUGUAUCAAAUGUAACUUUGAUUUGAGAUUGCAGCUUAACCAAUUUCCAUAUAAGUUUGGUAUGUGAAAUAUCAUUUCAAUUCAAUCUUGCAACGUAAGGAAUUGCGACAUGUUUAUUGGUGUAGUAUCAAAUAUCACUUCAAAUCAAUCUUGCAGAUUAACCUGUUACGUCAUAGUUUUGCUUCUGUGUAGAAUAUCGCUGAGAUCAAUCUUUCAGCAUUACUUAUUUCGGCAUAGUUUUCUAUGUAUCAAAUUUUAAUCAAAUUAUUUUUGCAGCUUAACCAAUUCCGACAUCUAGGGAGAACUCAUUUCCCGGGAUCGGAAGAUCUUAUCAACAACUUCAGGAAUCCACAACCAAUUAACUGUCGGGUUGUUACCUCCAACUGCAUUGGGUCAUAUACUUCUACGUAUACAAAGGAGUCAAAGACGGGAGAAGGAAAGAGUUAUGCGGACGAUAGAAACAGUUACAUAAAGAAUUUUCUAAUGAAACAUUUUCCAUAUUUAAAAUGGAAAGUGUAACCAAAAGUGGUUUUCGAUGAAUGAAACGUCAAAGUUAUCAGGUGUAAUUUAAUAAAAGAGAUUAUAACCAUCAUACUCAUGAUUUUUUUAAACAAAUGAUUCUACAUCAUCGAGCAUUGACAUUUCAUCAAAUGUGUGUGGUUCUUAUCUCAACAUAUAUUGUUUUAACAUAAAUUACAUCUUUUGUUCAUAGAACAAAUAAUUGACAACGUUCACGAUAAUUUCUAUUCCAAUGAUAAUGACGCAAUAACAAAGGUUGAGUCUGGAAAAUUAUUGACAUGGUCAUAACAAAAAUUGCAAGGAUACAACGGAGACAUUAAAAGUAAAAGAAAAACGGACAACGCCAAGGCCAAAAAAAAAGACGACAAGACGACCAAGUCCAGGAAACUUUAUACAAAAGACUGAUGAGCAAGAACCUAAAUUAUAAAUUAAAACCUAAGGAUGAACUUCGAAACAGUUUAACAUUUCCUUUUCCCGAAAUGGCACCCACGUGUUGCGCAAGCGAUUUUAGAUUAG